GACGAACGCUGGCGGCGUGCUUAACACAUGCAAGUCGAACGGAAAGGCCCUGCUUUUGUGGGGUGCUCGAGUGGCGAACGGGUGCGUAACACGUGAGUAACCUGCCCUUGACUUUGGGAUAACUUCAGGAAACUGGGGCUAAUACCGGAUAGGAGCUCCUGCUGCAUGGUGGGGGUUGGAAAGUUUCGGCGGUUGGGGAUGGACUCGCGGCUUAUCAGCUUGUUGGUGGGGUAGUGGCUUACCCAGGCUUUGACGGGUAGCCGGCCUGAGAGGGUGAACGGCGACAUGGCGACUGAGAUAGGGCCCAGACGCCUACGGGAGGCAGCAGUGGGGAGUAUUGCACAAUGGGCGGAAGCCUGAUGCAGCAACGCCGCGUGCGGGAUGACGGCCUUCGGGUUGUAAACAGCUUUCGCCUGUGACGAAGCGGUAGUGACGGUAAUGGGUAAAGAAGCACCGGCUAACUACGUG
rnacentral:rRNA from 1 species